rnacentral:rRNA from 1 species
UACGUAGGGUGCAAGCGUUACUCGGAAUUACUGGGCGUAAAGGGUGCGUAGGUGGUUUUUUAAGUCCGUUGUGAAAUCCCUGGGCUCAACCUGGGAAUGGCAGUGGAUACUGGAAAGCUAGAGUGCGGUAGAGGGUAGUGGAAUUCCCGGUGUAGCAGUGAAAUGCGUAGAGAUCGGGAGGAACACCAGUGGCGAAGGCGGCUACCUGGACCGGCAUUGACGCUGAGGCGCGAAAGCCAGGGGAGCAAACGGGG